rnacentral:rRNA from 1 species
UACGGAGGGUGCAAGCGUUACCCGGAUUCACUGGGUUUAAAGGGUGCGUAGGUGGGCUGGUAAGUCAGUGGUGAAAUCUCCAGGCUUAACUUGGAAACUGCCAUUGAUACUAUCAGUCUUGAAUACCGUGGAGGUCAGCGGAAUAUGUCAUGUAGCGGUGAAAUGCUUAGAUAUGACAUAGAACACCAAUUGCGAAGGCAGCUGGCUACACGAAUAUUGACACUGAUGCACGAAAGCGUGGGGAUCAAACAGG